ensembl:misc_RNA Metazoa_SRP Metazoan signal recognition particle RNA
GCAGGGUGUGGUGGUGCACACCUAUCAUCCCAGCCACUCAGGAGGCUGAGGCGAAAGGGAGUUCUGGGCUAUGGUGCACUAUGCCAAUUGGGUGUCCGCACUAACUUUGGCAUCAUUGUGAUGACCUCCUGGGAGCCAAGGACCACCAGGUUGCCUAAGGAGGGGUGAACUGGCCCAGGUUGAAAACAGAGCAGAUCAGAAUUCCCAUGCUUAUUAAUAAUGGGAUCACACCUGUGAAUAGCCACGACACUUCAGCCUGGGCAACACAA